ACGUACACUCCUGCGGGAGGCAGCAGUGGGGAAUAUUGGACAAUGGGCGCAAGCCUGAUCCAGCCAUGCCGCGUGAGUGAUGAAGGCCCUAGGGUUGUAAAGCUCUUUCACCGGUGAAGAUAAUGACGGUAACCGGAGAAGAAGCCCCGGCUAACUUCGUGCCAGCAGCCGCGGUAAUACGAAGGGGGCUAGCGUUGUUCGGAUUUACUGGGCGUAAAGCGCACGUAGGCGGACUAUUAAGUCAGGGGUGAAAUCCCGGGGCUCAACCCCGGAACUGCCUUUGAUACUGGUAGUCUUGAGUUCGAGAGAGGUGAGUGGAAUUCCGAGUGUAGAGGUGAAAUUCGUAGAUAUUCGGAGGAACACCAGUGGCGAAGGCGGCUCACUGGCUCGAUACUGACGCUGAGGUGCGAAAGCGUGGGGAGCAAACAGGAUUAGAAACCCUAGUAGUCC
rnacentral:rRNA from 1 species